rnacentral:rRNA from 1 species
UACGUAGGGGGCAAGCGUUGUUCGGAUUCAUUGGGCGUAAAGGGUGCGUAGGCGGCGCGGUAAGUCGGGUGUGAAAUCUCGGAGCUUAACUCCGAAACUGCAUUCGAUACUGCCGUGCUUGAGGACUGGAGAGGAGACUGGAAUUUACGGUGUAGCGGUGAAAUGCGUAGAUAUUGUAAGGAAGACCAGUGGCGAAGGCGGGUCUCUGGACAGUUCCUAACGCUGAGGCACGAAGGCCAGGGGAGCAAACGGG